CCUACGGGGGGCAGCAGUGGGGGAUAUUGCACAAUGGGGGAAACCCUGAUGCAGCGACGCCGCGUGUGGGAAGACGGUCCUCUGGAUUGUAAACUACUGUCCCCAGGGACGAAGAUGACGGAACCUGGGGAGGAAGCUCCGGCUAACUACGUGCCAGCAGCCGGGUUAAAACGGAGGGAGCGAGCGUUGUCGGAAUUACCUGGUGGUAAGGGGAGCGUAGGCGGGACGGCAGGUCGGUGGUAAAAUCUACAGGUUAAACCGGGGGCUGCAUUAGAAACUGCUGUUCUUGAGUGCAGUAGAGGCAGGCGGAAUUCCUAGUGUAGCGGUGAAAUGCGUAGAUAUUAGGAGGAACACCAGGGGCGAAGGCGGCCUGCUGGGCUUUUACUGACGCUGAGGCUCGAAAGUGUGGGGAGCAAACAGGAUUAGAUACCCUAGUAGUC
rnacentral:rRNA from 1 species